rnacentral:rRNA from 1 species
AUUGAACGCUGGCGGCAUGCCUUACACAUGCAAGUCGAACGGCAGCACGGGUGCUUGCACCUAGUGGCGAGUGGCGAACGGGUGAGUAAUACAUCGGAACGUACCUUAUCGUGGGGGAUAACGCAGCGAAAGCUGUGCUAAUACCGCAUACGCCCUGAGGGGGAAAGCGGGGGAUCGAAAGACCUCGCGCGAUUAGAGCGGCCGAUGCCUGAUUAGCUUGUUGGUGGGGUAAAAGCCCACCAAGGCGACGAUCAGUAGCUGGUCUGAGAGGACGAUCAGCCACACUGGGACUAAGACACGGCACAGACUCCUACGGGAGGCAGCAGUGGGGAAUUUUGGACAAUGGGGGCAACCCUGAUCCAGCAAUGCCGCGUGAGUGAAGAAGGCCUUCGGGUUGUAAAGCUCUUUUGUCAGGGAAGAAACACCGGCUCUAACACAGUCCGGGAAUGACGGUACCUGAAGAAUAAGCACCGGCUAACUACGUGCCAGCCGCCGCCGUAA